rnacentral:lncRNA from 1 species
UUUGCUAAACAUGCUUUUGGUAGCUAUUUCUUACUUUUCAAAACGCGGAGGGUAUUUCACAUGUUGUCAUUGGUUACUACUAGAAACUUGAGAUAUACAUCGUAAUAAGAAGAGACUUUGAAAAAUCAUUGAGACACAAGGGAACUCUGGUUAUCAGACUUCUUUGAAGCCUAUCAUUCCUUUUGCAGGUUCCAGCUUAAGGUGGCUCAUUCAUUUCAACUCUUCAAGUGAUAAGUGCAAAGAAACACAUCAUUAGCCUUAGCAUUAUUAAGCUAGUCUACUAGAUUAGUCCUAUUAUGUUCUACAAGCUUUUUAAAUCUUUUUUGCGGCUUGUACAACCAAAUUAGCUUCUUGAAGCUCUUUGGAUUUC